rnacentral:lncRNA from 1 species
CCUAAGGGAGCUACCAUUUGAUUUUUAUGGGGGGGGGGGGGGGCUAGGAUGAAAUUUGAAAAAAAUAGGCAGGACAAGAGUUUUGAGUAAAAAAAAAGGCAGGAUGAGACACUUGCAAAAAAAAAGUCAGGACGACAAUUUAGGUAAAAAAAAGUCAGGAUAAACUAAAAAAAAAAGGCAGGACUGAAUAGAAUGAAAAAUAAAAAGGCAGGACAGAGAUCACAACUAAAAAAAAAAUGCAGGACAAAAUUUUUCAUCCUAGCCCCCCCCCC